AGGAAUAUUGGUCAAUGGGCGGGAGCCUGAACCAGCCAAGUCGCGUGAGGGAUUAAGGCCCUACGGGUCGUAAACCUCUUUUGCCGGGGAGCAGGGCGGCGGACGUGUCCGCCGUUUGAGAGUACCCGGAGAAAAAGCAUCGGCUAACUCCGUGCCAGCAGCCGCGGUAAUACGGAGGAUGCGAGCGUUAUCCGGAUUUAUUGGGUUUAAAGGGUGCGCAGACGGCAGCGCAAGCCAGGAGUGAAAGCCCGGGGCCCAACCCCGGGACUGCUCUUGGAACUGCGCGGCUGGAGUGCAGGAGGGGCAGGCGGAAUUCCUGGUGUAGCGGUGAAAUGCGUAGAUAUCAGGAGGAACACCGGUGGCGAAGGCGGCCUGCUGGACUGCGACUGACGUUGAGGCCCGAAAGCGUGGGGAGCAAACAGG
rnacentral:rRNA from 1 species